GCCGCCAUCGUCUAGCCUGGUUCAGGACGGCAGAUUCUCGAUCUGCAAACGCUCGGUUCAAAUCCGGCUGGCGGUG
rnacentral:tRNA from 1 species